rnacentral:lncRNA from 1 species
UAACUGGACUGAAGGAUACAAAGUAUUGUUCUUGGGUGUGUCUGUGAGGGUGUUGCCAAAGGAGAUUAACAUUUAAGUCAGUGGACUGGGAGAGGCAGACUCACUCUCAAUCUGCGUAGGCACUAUCUAAUCAGCUGCCAGUGUCGCUAGAAUAAAGCAGGCAGAAGAAGAUGGAGAGAGUAGACUCACUGAGUCUUCCGGUCUUCAUCUUUCUCCCGUGCUGGAUGCUUCCUGCCCUCAAACGUCAGACUCUAAGUUCUUCGGCUUUUGGACUCUUGGACUUACAUUAGUGGUUUGCCAGUGGCUCUUGGCACUUUGGCCACAGACUGAAGGCUGCACUGUCAGCUUCCUGAGUUUUGAAGUUUUGGGACUUGGAUUGAUCCACUACUGGCUUCCUUGCUCCUCAACUUGCAGAUGGCCUAUUGUGGGACUUCACCUUGUGAUAUGAAACCAAGACAAAAAUAAGUCAAGGAGCUGGAACAGCUAUUAGGUGGUAUAAUGAAGAUUCAAAUCCAGGCUGUCGAUUUCAAAGCUUUACACCUAAUACUCAGUACUGCAUCCCAGAUGUCAAACAACAUGCAGCAUUACUAUUCAUGAUUCUCAAACUCUUCAAUAAAAGUUUAAAAAUAUACAGAAAAGCCCUAGGUCCUAAAUUCUUUGUACCUUGGAGACUUUACACCUGAUCACCUGAACCCAGAAGGGACUGAUAGCCAGAAGACCACAGG